GGAGAAGUAAUGGAAGAAAAUGGAUUGAAGCCAAAUUACAAAGGCCCUGGUUGUUAUACUGAGGACUUCAGCCUUUAUUCUGGAUCAGUGGACUCCAGGUCUCACGGAAUGCUGAAUUUUUCGAGCACUCACCACAAGGUCUCAAGCCCCCGAGGACUACCAGGCAAAUUUCCAACAAAGCUGGGUUCACAACUGAGAAUUCCCAGUGUAUGGCACCACAAGGAAAAUAGCUGCAUUUGGAUAGUGACAUGGAGUGACUUAGGACACGGUGAGAAGACGGCCAUCUGUGAAGCAAGAAGAAGGUCCUCAUCAGACACCAAAGACGCCUUGAUCUUGGACUUCCCAGCCUCCAGAACUGUGAA
rnacentral:lncRNA from 1 species